GUCGUGACUGCGUGCCUUUUGAAGAAUGAGCCUGCGAGUUAGCGGUGUGUAGCGAGGUUAACCCGUGUGGGGAAGCCGUAGCGAAAGCGAGUCCGAAUAGGGCGUUUGAGUUGCACGCUCUAGACCCGAAGCGGAGUGAUCUAGCCAUGGGCAGGUUGAAGCGGAGGUAAGACUUCGUGGAGGACCGAACCCACCAGGGUUGAAAACCUGGGGGAUGACCUGUGGUUAGGGGUGAAAGGCCAAUCAAACUCCGUGAUAGCUGGUUCUCCCCGAAAUGCAUUUAGGUGCAGCGUCGUGUGUUUCUUGCCGGAGGUAGAGCACUGGAUAGGCGAUGGGCCCUACCGGGUUACUGACCUUAGCCAAACUCCGAAUGCCGGUAAGUGAGAGCGCGGCAGUGAGACUGUGGGGGAUAAGCUCCAUGGUCGAGAGGGAAACAGCCCAGAGCAUCGACUAAGGCCCCUAAGCGUACGCUAAGUGGGAAAGGAUGUGGAGUCGCAGAGACAACCAGGAGGUUGGCUUAGAAGCAGCCACCCUUGAAAGAGUGCGUAAUAGCUCACUGGUCAAGUGAUUCCGCGCCGACAAUGUAGCGGGGCUCAAGCGUACCGCCGAAGUCGUGUCAUUCAUACACAUAUCCUCAACGGGAGUAUGGAUGGGUAGGGGAGCGUCGUGUGCCGGGUGAAGCAGCCGCGGAAGCGAGUUGUGGACGGUUCACGAGUGAGAAUGCAGGCAUGAGUAGCGAUACACACGUGAGAAACGUGUGCGCCGAUUGACUAAGGGUUCCUGGGUCAAGCUGAUCUGCCCAGGGUAAGUCGGGACCUAAGGCGAGGCCGACAGGCGUAGUCGAUGGACAACCGGUUGAUAUUCCGGUACCCGCUUUGAAACGCCCAGUACUGAAUCAGGCGAUGCUAAGUCCGUGAAGCCGGCCCGAUCUCUUCGGAGUUGAGGGUAGUGGUGGAGCCGAUGAACCAGACUUGUAGUAGGUAAGCGAUGGGGUGACGCAGGAAGGUAGUCCAGCCCGGGCGGUGGUUGUCCCGGGGUAAGGGUGUAGGACGCACGGUAGGCAAAUCCGUCGUGCAUAUAGUCUGAGACCUGAUGCCGAGCCGAUUGUGGUGAAGUGGAUGAUCCUAUGCUGUCGAGAAAAGCCUCUAGCGAGUUUCAUGGCGGCCCGUACCCUAAACCGACUCAGGUAGUCAGGUAGAGAAUACCGAGGCGUUCGGGUGAACUAUGGUUAAGGAACUCGGCAAAAUGCCCCCGUAACUUCGGGAGAAGGGGGGCCAUCACUGGUGAGGGGACUUGCUUCCUGAGCUGGGGGUGGCCGCAGAGACCAGCGAGAAGCGACUGUUUACUAAAAACACAGGUCCGUGCGAAGCCGUAAGGCGAUGUAUACGGACUGACGCCUGCCCGGUGCUGGAACGUUAAGGGGACCGGUUAGUGCACUUUCGGGUGUGCGAAGCUGAGAACUUAAGCGCCAGUAAACGGCGGUGGUAACUAUAACCAUCCUAAGGUAGCGAAAUUCCUUGUCGGGUAAGUUCCGACCUGCACGAAUGGCGUAACGACUUCUCGACUGUCUCAACCAUAGGCCCGGUGAAAUUGCACUACGAGUAAAGAUGCUCGUUUCGCGCAGCAGGACGGAAAGACCCCGGGACCUUUACUAUAGUUUGAUAUUGGUGUUCGGUUCGGCUUGUGUAGGAUAGGUGGGAGACUUUGAAGCAGCCACGCCAGUGGUUGUGGAGUCGCCGUUGAAAUACCACUCUGGUCGUGCUGGAUGUCUAACCUGGGUCCGUGAUCCGGAUCAGGGACAGUGUCUGAUGGGUAGUUUAACUGGGGCGGUUGCCUCCUAAAGAGUAACGGAGGCGCCCAAAGGUUCCCUCAGCCUGGUUGGCAAUCAGGUGUUGAGUGUAAGUGCACAAGGGAGCUUGACUGUGAGACCGACGGGUCGAGCAGGGACGAAAGUCGGGACUAGUGAUCCGGCAGUGGCUUGUGGAAGCGCUGUCGCUCAACGGAUAAAAGGUACCCCGGGGAUAACAGGCUGAUCUUCCCCAAGAGUCCAUAUCGACGGGAUGGUUUGGCACCUCGAUGUCGGCUCGUCGCAUCCUGGGGCUGGAGUCGGUCCCAAGGGUUGGGCUGUUCGCCCAUUAAAGCGGUACGCGAGCUGGGUUUAGAACGUCGUGAGACAGUUCGGUCCCUAUCCGCUGUGCGCGUAGGAAUAUUGAGAAGGGCUGUCCCUAGUACGAGAGGACCGGGACGGACGAACCUCUGGUGUGCCAGUUGUCCUGCCAAGGGCAUGGCUGGUUGGCUACGUUCGGAAAGGAUAACCGCUGAAAGCAUCUAAGCGGGAAGCCUGCUUCGAGAUGAGUAUUCCCACCACCUUGAGUGGUUAAGGCUCCCAGUAGACGACUGGGUUGAUAGGCCAGAUGUGGAAGCCCGGUAACGGGUGGAGCUGACUGGUACUAAUAGGCCGAGGGCUUGUCCUC
rnacentral:rRNA from 1 species